GUUUAAAGGGAGCGUAGGCCGGAGAUUAAGCGUGUUGUGAAAUGUAGUGGCUCAACCUCUGCACUGCAGCGCGAACUGGUCUUCUUGAGUACGCACAACGUGGGCGGAAUUCGUGGUGUAGCGGUGAAAUGCUUAGAUAUCACGAAGAACUCCGAUUGCGAAGGCAGCUCACGGGAGCGCAACUGACGCUGAAGCUCGAAAGUGCGGGUAUCGAACAGGAUUAGAUACCCUGGUAGUCCGCACGGUAAACGAUGGAUGCCCGCUGUUGGCCUGAAUAGGUCAGCGGCCAAGCGAAAGCAUUAAGCAUCCCACCUGGGGAGUACGCCGGCAACGGUGAAACUCAAAGGAAUUGACGGGGGCCCGCACAAGCGGAGGAACAUGUGGUUUAAUUCGAUGAUACGCGAGGAACCUUACCCGGGCUUGAAUUGCAGAGGAAGGAUUUGGAGACAAUGACGCCCUUCGGGGUCUCUGUGAAGGUGCUGCAUGGUUGUCGUCAGCUCGUGCCGUGAGGUGUCGGCUUAAGUGCCAUAACGAGCGCAACCCCUCUCCUCAGUUGCCAUCAGGUUAAGCUGGGCACUCUGGGGACACUGCCACCGUAAGGUGUGAGGAAGGUGGGGAUGACGUCAAAUCAUCAUGCCCCUUAUGUCUAGGGCUACACACGUGCUACAAUGGUCGGUACAAUAAGACGCAAGCCCGCGAGGGGGAGCAAAACUGGAAAACCGAUCUCAGUUCGGAUUGUAGGCUGAAACUCGCCUACAUGAAGCUGGAGUUGCUAGUAAUCGC
rnacentral:rRNA from 1 species